rnacentral:rRNA from 1 species
UCGAGCGGUAGAGAGAAGCUUGCUUCUCUUGAGAGCGGCGGACGGGUGAGUAAUGCCUAGGAAUCUGCCUGGUAGUGGGGGAUAACGUUCGGAAACGGACGCUAAUACCGCAUACGUCCUACGGGAGAAAGCAGGGGACCUUCGGGCCUUGCGCUAUCAGAUGAGCCUAGGUCGGAUUAGCUAGUUGGUGAGGUAAUGGCUCACCAAGGCGACGAUCCGUAACUGGUCUGAGAGGAUGAUCAGUCACACUGGAACUGAGACACGGUCCAGACUCCUACGGGAGGCAGCAGUGGGGAAUAUUGGACAAUGGGCGAAAGCCUGAUCCAGCCAUGCCGCGUGUGUGAAGAAGGUCUUCGGAUUGUAAAGCACUUUAAGUUGGGAGGAAGGGUUGUAGAUUAAUACUCUGCAAUUUUGACGUUACCGACAGAAUAAGCACCGGCUAACUCUGUGCCAGCAGCCGCGGUAAUACAGAGGGUGCAAGCGUUAAUCGGAAUUACUGGGCGUAAAGCGCGCGUAGGUGGUUUGUUAAGUUGGAUGUGAAAUCCCCGGGCUCAACCUGGGAACUGCAUUCAAAACUGACUGACUAGAGUAUGGUAGAGGGUGGUGGAAUUUCCUGUGUAGCGGUGAAAUGCGUAGAUAUAGGAAGGAACACCAGUGGCGAAGGCGACCACCUGGACUAAUACUGACACUGAGGUGCGAAAGCGUGGGGAGCAAACAGGAUUAGAUACCCUGGUAGUCCACGCCGUAAACGAUGUCAACUAGCCGUUGGAAGCCUUGAGCUUUUAGUGGCGCAGCUAACGCAUUAAGUUGACCGCCUGGGGAGUACGGCCGCAAGGUUAAAACUCAAAUGAAUUGACGGGGGCCCGCACAAGCGGUGGAGCAUGUGGUUU